AUUAAAGGACUAUGGAUGACAUUAGCGUUCCCUUUCAUUGAUCCGUUGUUACACUUGCUCAAGGGUCUGGAGCAUUGUAUCGAAAGAGAAAUGGAGUCGUCGAAAAAUCUGACUUCACUGCCCCCGAAGAGGGCCAAGAAGACGAGAAACAUGAAGGAGGGAAGAUAAAGAAACUCAAAAGCCAUCGGUCUCUGCUUUUGCUUUUGUUCCUCAUCGGCCUCCUGCUACUCACUUCCUAUGGAAGUACUCUCCUUUAGACUGGACGGAGUACUUCGACCGAGAGGAAGAUUUUUGCAUUCCAAAUUCAAAUGAUGUAUGUCAUGUGUAUAUGGCAGGAAAAGAAGGACCUGUUGUUUUUGUCUUCAUGGGGGUGGCUAUUCUGGGUUCAUCGUGCUUCAAUUUCUAGGGAGGGUGAUUCAAAGAUGAUCCAAGUUCUCAGUUUUCAACAUUACUGCAUUUGGUGGCAACUUCACAGACAACACUUGCAUAUUAAUUUGAAGCUGCCUGAGACUUCUUCAUUGAAUUAGAUUGAACAUACUUCACUUUCUAAAUUAACAUACGAGUGAUAUUACUCUUAGAAACAACGAAUAUGUUCUAUAGUUAACUUUAACCAUAUGUGUAUGGCAUGUGUAUAGAACGUAAUUCCUUUUUGGUAUUUUAAUAUGUUCUUUUUGUGUAUUAGUUGAGUUCCUUCUAGAAUCUCAUCUAGGAGUUGAUAAAGAGGAGAAAAAAGCUGCAACUUUCGCAAAUAUUAACAGAGACUGAUGUUCAGUACCUUGAUUUUGCUCUCAUUCUCUCUCUCUCUCUCUCUCUCUCUCUCUCUCUCUCUCUAAAUCAAUUAGGACAUAAGUUAUUUAUCAUUAAAGAAAAAAGGUUCUAAACUUUGGCAUUCUGAUAAAUGUAAAUUACAUAAAUACAUUCGGCCAGGCUUUCAUUGGCAUUGUCAGCAAGUAAAAUUAAGGAGAAAGCUCGGGUUGUUGCCAUUGACUUGAGAGGACAUGGGAAAACAUCCACGGAAAAUGAUCUGGACCUAUCCAUUGAGAAUUUCAGGGAACAGCUAUGGCUUCUCUGGUACACAUGCAGAAAAUCUUAUCAAACAGGAUGCAGCAUUUCUCAAGCAUAGAAAAAGCGGUAUCUAUGAUUUUUUUUUGGAUCCCAAUCUUUCCUGUCUAAUAGUUAUUUUUACAUCAUGAUUUGUUUGAAUCUGUUUAAUUCCUAAGUUGUCAAAUUUAGAAUCAAAAUCAUAAUUUUAUUAAUCAAGAAUUGAGAAGAAAAUCGAAUUUGUAGAUUUUAUACAAAUUAUUGUGACCUUACAUACAUAUAAAACUAGCAAAUAUAUACAUUGGAGAAUGAAAUAUAUUAUCUAAUAAUUAAUGAUUACAUAGCGAAUCAGAAAAGGUGAUUCUCAUACAAAUUUGUAGCAAGAGUAUUGCAAUCUAUAUUACACAUCAUUUGGACAUGCAAAUAGACACACAACAUUUAUUUUUCAAUUAUGGCUUUUGGACUUUGAUAAUUUCACCCAUCAGAUAUAGCUUUAGUUUCCAUCAUCCACAACGUUAUUGUGCUCUAUAUAGUAUAUAACCUUAAUUUUGAAAAGAUUACAAGAACACCUUAAUUUUGAAAGUUUAUUCCAUAGCCAUUCUUAAAUUUCUCAAUAUUCUAAAAAUCCGCAUUGGCAUUUCUCCUCACAACCUCGUUUUUCAACUCUAUCUGAGCCUAGCGUGGACCCAGACCUCAUAGCUAGGAUAGGUUCAGAUUGAUAUUGGCUAUUAAUUAGCAAAAGUGUCAAAUCAUUGGAUUACAGUAUUCUGUGGUGACAAUAAAAAUAUGUUCAUACUCCCAAGAUAAAUAUCAAGUUCAUUUUUUUUAUUCUAGAUUGCUGAUACAUUUCAUUAGGAGUCCUGCACUAAAAAUUUUCAAACUUAAGUGUUCUUAACUCAUUCCAUGCCCUUGCCAUAUGACUCGUCUAAACUAUUUUUCAGUUUUUUAAUAAAUUUAAUUAAAAGCAUUACAACAUAGUUUCUUAAUUUUCAAACUUAAGUGUUCUUAACUUUCUACCUUGCCAAUUUCCAUAAUUUGAUGGUGUUAAGAGACCACUUGUGGUUUAUACCAGUACUUUUACCAUAAAACUUAAUUAAAAUAAUGAAUAGAAAAAACACACACAGACACAAACACAAACACACACGCACAAGGGAACUGAUAUCCCUACUUACAAUAUGUUUGCCACCAUUUUUAGCUUAAAGCCUUAGUUAUUUCUAGCUCCAGCCUUAAAACAAAUGGACAGCCAAAGCAUCAGUCUAUUUGUGGAGUGCAUCCUAUUCAGAUUCAAAAGAACAGAAUGCAGACCUAUCAUAUCUCCAGAACAAGUCAAUUUGGCACUAAGAUAAUACCAGACUAUGUCAAUAAAUUAUUUUCAAAGGGCUAACCCAAGAACAGUGGAAGAUGAAUCACAUAACAACUGAUUCCCAAAAUAAACAAUUUUUCUAUUUUUAAAUGGAAAAAGCAAUUAAUGUAAGAUGCAUGACACAACACUGUACCGUUUACUAAUUCUUAUCAUAUUGAUUUUACCAUUUAAAAAUUUCUCAGCCAAAUUUAACAGCAGAUUUCUAUUCUUUUUCUGUCCAAAUGAUUAAGAUACAAAUUUAUUUCAAUGCGUCCCUUCACACCUUACAUAAAGCAAAUACCUAAAUUAAAGCUAUCCUGAUAAAUGAGAAGUAAAAGAACAUUCACAAAUUGAGAAAAAUAGCAUAGAAAGUGUCACUCCUAAGCCAAGAUUUCUGUAAGGACAAUUCAAAGAAAGAAAGAAGGAAUGAAUGAAUUAAUUAAUGAAAGAGAAAGAUGAAUUAAUAAUAAAACUACCGGGUCAAUUUCAACUAAUUCACGAGGUGCAACGAUGGUGACAUUGAGGAUCUCAGCUUUUGCAAGCUUGUAUGUCUUAUACUUCUCCAUAAAUUCAUGGAUUUGCUCUCUCGUUUGCCUGCAAGCAGGAGUCUCCACCAAAUAAACAGAAACCUACAACAAAAAACAACAAAUGCAAUUAACACCCAUAAGAGUUUAGAUUUCUUUUACCCAUUCAAAUUCUAUAAACUCAAUUUUUUCACUAAAAAAUGUAGACAACUUAUAUUCUGAUGAUGCUACAGGAGCAAUAACCCUUGAGAGGAAAUUGCAAUACACUCAUCCAAGAAAGAAUGGAGAGGAAAAAGAAAAUGAAUAAAAAAAAGCCAUUAAUGUAGCAAGGCAAGCACUUACAUCUUCAUUGGAAUAUGAUUCUUCAAUUCCCCUGAAAAUGAGACCAACAAGAAAAACCAGCAGAAAAUUAAGAAAAUCCUGCUUCAGAAUUAGAAGCUAAGCUGUAAUAAAACUAAAGUUGCUUAUCGAAUUUGCGAUCAGCUUAAGUCACAUAUUGGUAGCUCCAAAAACUCAG